CUCUGUUGCCCACCAAAGGUGCCAUGGAGCUCCCAGCUGUGUGGACGUGACUGCUGUGGGCCCAUCAGAGAGGCCACGCCGCCCUGGCCACGUGCUGGCCCAGCCUCUCAGUGCAGACCUGAAUCUGGGCCACUGAUGGAUUCAAUACCCACAGGAUAUCUGUUCCAGACAAGCUGCCAAAGGACAAACGUUCAAUGUAAGUCACCCAGUUGGGAUUGGAGAGUACUCAGAGACCUGCUCAGAACCAGGGAUUGUCCUUAGGUUGGCGUCCCACUUUCCAAGACCUUGGAGAUUUCUGCUGGAUCCUCUGAUUUCAGCAGAGGGGUAAAAAUGAAAAGAGCAAGGACAAUCACACAUGUACUUUUGGAGUCAGGCCUGGAAGUGGCUUACAUCACUUCUUCUGUCUGCUUUCCAAUUGGCUGGAACUCAGUCACAUGACACUCCUAACUGCAAGGGAAGCUGGGAAAAUGUAGUUUUCUACAUUUAUAUACAGGAGGAAAACAAGGACUUGGGGACUACAGAGCCAGCACUGUCUUUGCCUCAUAUUUUACCAAGUUCCAACCAGCAAAGUUUUUCCAGUUUAUAUUUCUAUAAGAAAGGUAUAAGAAUUCCUAGUUCCCUACACUGUCAGUAAUUAAGAGCAUGACAUUUUUGUGUGUCUAUUGUCCACAGCUUUGCAUAUGACAUUGCUGCUUUUCUACUGAUAGACUCAGAGUACCUCUUUCUGUCUUUGUAGAUGAUCUCUCUGGAAGCUAGGACUGCAGCCCUGAUUACUUUUAGGACAGCUGCCCCAUCACUGUCUCCCAGGCUGGCCUAAGUUUCUGGACCUUUCUCUGUUCUAUCUUCUGUCCUGUAUCCAGUGUCUGCAAAAGGGGACACCCUUGCUGGGCCUUUACCCCAAGCCCCAGGCCCCAGCAUCAUCCCUGAAUGAAGGGUCACUCAGAGACCGCAGGAGCAGGCUUCUUCUCCACAUCGUCCACAGGACAGCUGGCUGCUGCCUGAUGAUUCACUAGGAGGCCUGGCCCCUUGACAGAGCAAAUUCCAGUGAGGACUGCAAAUGGCUUCCAGUGUCUGUUUGCCCAAGGCCUCCUGGGAACUGAGGGCCUGGCAUGAGCACAGCGGGGAACUGCAAACCAGGUUCUUACUAUGUAGUUCAGGCUGGCCUGGAAUUCAUGGAGAUCCUCCUGCCUCAGCCUCCUGAGUGCUAGGAUUACAGGCAUUUUAUCCUGUCUGCUGUCUCUCACUCAUCACUUCCCUGAGGAAAGUUCAAAUUCAAAACAAAACAGCCGUUUUUGCAAAGCCAGCCGUUUUGCUCCACGGACCUGGGAAAGAUUUGAUGUAAAACCAGUUCUCAGGAAGCUGCACAUGAUUCACAGAUCUUAAUGCUGCCGGAGGCACAGAGUGCAAAGGAGAGAGCGGGGAAGAGAGGAAUGUAGCUGUCUCACCUUGGAAAGGGGGUAAACUGAGGCAAGGCUCAGCCGGAAAGUGAGUGAUAGGAAUCAACAGGAGGCACCACCGCUGCCAUUUCAUCUGGUUCAGUGUUCAUCCAGUGACUCUCCUCUCCGAGCCUUCUGCAGACACAGACAGGCAUUCAGAAACCAGCCUGCUGGAGACAUUACAGACUCGGGCAGCAGAGUGGGGUGAUGGGACACAGGAAGGUCGACAUUCAGAGAUGGG
ensembl:lncRNA